rnacentral:rRNA from 1 species
CAGUCGCCGCGGGAAUACGGAGGAUCCAAGCGUUAUCCGGAAUCAUUGGGUUUAAAGGGUCCGUAGGCGGUCUUGUAAGUCAGUGGUGAAAGCCCAUCGCUCAACGGUGGAACGGCCAUUGAUACUGCAGGACUUGAAUUAUUGGGAAGUAACUAGAAUAUGUAGUGUAGCGGUGAAAUGCUUAGAGAUUACAUGGAAUACCAAUUGCGAAGGCAGGUUACUACCAAUUGAUUGACGCUGAUGGACGAAAGCGUGGGUAGCGAACAGGAUUAGAGACCCCAGUAGUCCCUGUCUCUUAUAC